rnacentral:misc_RNA from 1 species
GCCAAAUUAGCCUUUUAAUUCAAGAGGAGGAAUUCUUCCAAUACAUUGCUGAUAAAAUGAUAUUAGGGUGGUGGCUGUAAAAGAGUUGUUUAAAACUUUUUCCUUCAAUCUUGGGGGAAAAAGAGCACCAAAAACUGUGCAUAGGAAAGCAGGGUGGGUAUAUAGUGCAAGCCAGUUGAGAUUCUUCAAACAUCUUUGUAAAUUCAAAGUUUUUUUCAGUAAUGAAAUGGGACUUGAGCAAAAAAGAGAGCUCAGUUUUCUU